GGACUUGGAUAAUUCAACGAAAUUUCUCGAAUUCAUUUUUUUAGUUUCUUGUAGCGUUGAUCGUGAUUGGAAGACGAUUGAAGCAUGUGUCGGCUCAAAGACUGUUAUACAGGUUCAGAAGAAUGGUGCGCGCGAGCAUCUACCCCCACCUCAGGCCAAAACGAAAGGCAGCUCAUCCAUGUCCAUAGAAAGCAUCUAAUAAUGUUUCUCAAACUAUUUUAUUACAAGGACAACCUACCCAGCGGCAGCAAGGUUCUGUCAUGCCUAUGGAUACUGCUACUGUGAGAAACACAAAUGUGAAUGUGGCAGUGCC